AUGCCAUCCAGGGUAAUUCGUUGCUUCCCUAACAACAAACCAUGGAUAACCAGCAGCCUGAAGUCCUUACUAAAUGAGAAGAAAAAGGCUUUCAGGGAGGGCGACAGGAAUAAAAUCAAAGAACUUCAAAAGGAACUUAAGGUGAGGAUUAAGGAGGGGAAAGAAGCAUUUCGGCUCAAACUGGAACAACAGUUGCAGCAGGAUGGAGUGAAGCAGGUAUGGGCUGGAAUGCGAAAGAUCACGGGCAUGAAGCAGAAGGGCAGUACACUGCCUGAUGGUGAACUGAGUCUGGCCGAUGAUCUGAACAGAUUUUUCAACAGAUUUGACUGCCCCACACCACCACUACCGCCCCUACCUGGUCUGCUGACCAAUGCUGCUUCCUCACCACCUCCCCUCCCUCUCUCCAACACUCCUGAGAUGUUACCUGCACAGAGUCCUCUCUUCUCACCUCCUACUCCACCAGCAACCCCACCUAUGACUUUCCAUACUGCCCAGGUUAAGAUGAUGCUGUACAGGCUGAAGCCAGGGAAAGCAGUGGGGCCCGAUGACAUCAGCCCAAGGCUACUGAAGACUUGCUCUUCAGAGUUGUGUGGUAUUCUUACACACCUGUUCAACCUGAGCUUGCGCCUACAGAAGGUCCCAAGGCUGUGGAAAACAUCUUGCCUAGUACCUGUCCCAAAGAAGACCCAUCCCACAAACCACAAUGAUUACAGACCAGUAGCUCUCACUUCACAUAUCAUGAAGACAUUUGAGAGACUUGUCCUCUCCUCCCUCUGCACUAGUGUGUCUACGCAAAUGGACCCUUUACAGUUUGCAUAUCAGCCUAACAUCAGUGUUGAUGAUGCCCUCAUUUACAUGCUGCAGAGGGCAUACACACAUCUGGACACCCCUGAUGCAUCUGUAAGGAUAACAUUCUUUGACUUCUCAUCUGCCUUUAAUACCAUCCAGCCACGUCUGCUAGGGGAGAAGAUGGAGAUGAUGAAGGUGGAUCCAUUACUGGUACUGUGGUGUUUGGACUACCUUUAUCUCAGACCACAGUAUGUGCGCCUACAGAACAAUAUUUCAUGCACCAUCCUCAGCAGCACAGGGGCUCCACAAGGAACUGUUCUGGCUCCAUUCCUGUUCACCAUCUACACAGCGGAUUACAAAUACAACACUAAAAGCUGCUUCUUGCAAAAAUAUUCAGACGACACAGCUGUUGUUGGCCUCAUUAAAGGGGGAAAUGAGGAGGAGUACAGAGACACCAUAGACAAUUUUGUGGAGUGGAGUACACACAAUAAUCUCCAUCUCAACACCACAAAGACAAAGGAGAUAGUUGUGGAUUUCAGGAGGGGAAGGAGGAGGACUCAACCAACACCAAUCAGCAUCGGGGGCACUAUGGUGGAGAUGGUCGCCAACCACAGGUACCUUGGUGUGCAGCUCGACAGUGAGCUGGACUGGAAAAGUCAUAUGGAAGCGGUGUACAAGAAGGGACUGUUUUUCGCUGUGGCAUGUUGGGGAGAAGGCGCCUGCACAGCGGACAAAAAGAGACUGGACAAGCUGAUCAGGAAGGCCAGCUCAGUGGUCGGGGCUGAGCAGCUAAAGGUCCAGCAGGUGGCAGAGGCCAGAAUCCUCAACAAACUGGCCUCAAUAAUGUCUAACCCCACUCACCCACUCCACGCCCUGAAGGUGAUCAAGAACAGCACCUUCAGCCAGAGACUAAUUGCACCAAUAUGCAAAACGGAGUGGUACAGGAAGUCCUGUAUACCAGCAACCAUACGGUUUUACAAUGCACAAAAUUAA
ensembl:lncRNA